GAAAACUCCAAUUUAUAGUGAGAUUAGAAAGCCAAUCAAUGGAUUGCCUAUUGAUAAUUAACCCCAAAAUAAUCCUGUGUCCACCAUAGAUAUGUUUCUUCUACUCAACUGUUGAUCAUUAGAAUAUUUCUUUAUCCUAUUGAACUUUAUCCUAGUGUUCUUUUUAAAUACUUUGCAACCAAUCCCCUGUGUUAAUAUUAAUAGACAUAUAGGCUCUGGAAUAUUCAUUAAGGCUACUCACAGUUAAUGACCUUGGACCUGUAGCCAAUGCUUGUAGCUAGCUGGAGUUUGGUUUCUAGAAAGCCACAUUACUACAUUGUCACACAUCAUUAUGCAUAAAGCUCCCAUGUGCAUUACCAGCAUUUUCUUUGAGGUCUUUGCUGCAUUUUUUGCCAUUCUGAAAGAUGCAAGCAUGUUGGUUUUCUUUUUAAGUUAUUUGCCUCCUAGACAGUGGCAGCUGCUGUAGGAACAAUCCAAUGAAACCUUGGUUGUGUGUAAAAUAAUUCCCAUGAAAAUCUUGCCGGGUCAUUUCCCCUCAACCCAUUGCUCACCUACCUGAGAGUAAGCCCAUGCAAACUCAGUGGGACUUCCUUGUGAUUAGACCUGUGUAGGAUUGCACUGUGAAAUGCUUUGACUACAAUCUUCCAAGCACCAUUUUAUCUGUUGUUUCACUGACAGCAAUAUGACUUGUUUUGAUAGGCCUCCAGUCAAGUCUGAUGUAACUCCAUUCGCUGCAUCGGAGUUACACAGAGAAGACAUUUGUUGCUUGCUGGAGGACCCAAACCCUGAAUUAUUCCUCCUGCUGCUGCUGCCGCCACCUCUCUCCCCGCCCCCCACCUCACCGCAGAAAAUGUAUAUGUUUCAGCGACCUCAGUAACAGGCACAAAACCUAUGUCCCUUUGCUUGAAUUCCAUGACAGUGUUUGGGGGGGGGGCGGAAAUCUCAAUGGUUUAUACUGAAGUUAUUGGUGUGCUACGAUGAAAAGUUUUUUGUUUGUUUUUUUGACGAUACUGAAUGUGAUUAUAUGUAUAGAGGAGUACUUCCUUGCCUUAUGUAAGGAUUGUAAACUUAUUUAAGUUAUGUAGACAAAUCAAAGUGGCAUUGCAUAACCUUUUAGCAGGUAUGAUAACUGGGUUAAACAGCAACAAUGCUAAACUUAGGUCACUUUGAAAAUGUAAACCAAAGUUCCUUGACCAUUACAUAUAGUAAGAUGGAAAUGGUGGAUUUGAAACCUGGCCAUUCCUCUGGUUACAUACUUUAAAAUUCCAGACCAGAAAUUAUUAUGAAAUGAAUAAAUCCUAGCAGCCACAGACUGAAUUGCUGAGAGCCUAUCAAACCUAUCUUAUUAUUAAAAAGUUUACAUUUUAUUUUUAUAUAUCGGAGGAUGGUCAUUAUUACAAAAUAGCCUUCUCAGGACAAAGGACCUUGCUCAGGGAAAAUGCCAUGUUAAUCUUCUUUUAUUUUUGUUUUACAGAUCACUUGCUUUUACUUGCUUGCUCAAAACAAACCAAAAAGAGACCUUUUCUAAUAUAUACAUGUUAUGUGCUGAUGAUAGUAGCUACCUCUGUUUACAUAUAAAGGAGUUUCUGAUAACUCAAAAUAUCAACCUUUUGCAUUAUGCUUUCCCGUUAAAACAGAAGUACAGUGGUAUUCCUGUUUUUAAGUGAACAUUUGUGACUUGACAUUCACAAGUGCAGCUGACUUUCAGAAUUGUGAGCAGAGCACCUCCUCACCAUUUCUGAAAUUCCAAGCCACAUUGUUUGCAUAGGGGAUAGUAAAUUUAUUCUGUUUACAAGCAAACAACUACCUCAUACUUGCCACAGAAGCAACACCUUUAUGCUGUUUAGGACUUAAAAGUGGCUGUUGAUGGUACAUACCAGUUGUUGUUUCUGAAAUUAUUCUGCAAUUAAUACAGCUUUCACUGCAAAGUGUUAGGGCAAAUAUGUAUGUAAUUUAAACACGAUGUGUCCAUUUGAAAUGAUGUGAGAGUCUCUUUAAAGUUUAGAUUUGCUUUUCUGCCUCAAAGGCAGUGUUGUUUCACACACAAAUACCACACGUGAAGGUAACUGAUUUUCUGGGGAAGAAACAGCAUGUGGCAAUUAAUUGAAUAUCCCUGGAUUACAAUUAAAUUACAAACAUGUUGUUGUUGGUUUGGGCCAACAAUUACUCAAAUUAUAUGCUUUAAAUAAAUAUAAGCAGCACGCACACACACACACCACUUGGGCGUACUCCUAAAUGUAAGGAAUAUUACAUUUCCACUCAUACCCCACUUCAGUUGGUGAAGUAAUUUGCCACCCAGCUGUGCCACACCAAAAAUUCUAGUUGCUUUGAAGCAACUCUUGAAAAUAUGCACUCCUGGCUUUUAGUAUUUUGACUAUGGGCAAGCCCAAGUAAGCAAUCAGUACCUGGUCCAGAUCUGAAUAACCAGCUUUAAACAUAACAAUUUCAGACAAAUAGGCCAUGUUUUGUCAGACUUGAGAAUGAGCCUUGUCCCUGUACUCUCCCUUCCCUCUUCCACUUUUAUGCUCAGCUUUGAAGAAGAUACCAUGAUUUGUUGAACCAGGAAACUGGUUUAAAGAUCAAACCAGGAUCAGAUCUUUGUUUAUAAGCAGUGCUUUAACUAAGAGACUGGUUUAAGAAACCACAUUAGCCCAAUUCAAACAUUCUGUUUCAUGCAGUUAUGGUUGCAUAGAGUGGAAGAGCAAGACUGUAGCCACAGCUCCUGUUGUAGCCAGUGUUGGAAACUCAGAUAUAUAAUCUAAUCACCAAUUGGCACCUUAAACCUAUGUUACAGUCACCACAAUGGAAUGUCUAGGUGCCUUUCCCCCUGUUUUUGUAAUGGAGUUUAUUAUCAUUAUCAUUAUUAUUAUUAAUUUAAUAUCUAGACCAAUAUCUCAAAGUGGUUUACAAAACAUUAAAACAUCAAAUAAAACAAUCCAGAAUGAAACAAAAUCAAGCUUCAAGGGAAAAAAUCUAGAUCCUUCUCUAAGUGAUAGUUUGCUUUCCCCAGUUGCCAGCCUGGCAUCCAGAGAUCUCCACGUGGUCACAAUUGGACCCACACCAGUCGCAAAACAUGCCUGGCCCCUGGCUAAUUUCUAACAUUGGUUGUAGCCACUGCCAACCCUGUGUAGGUUCUAUGCAGUCCUUAUUUUCUGGGGUACGCAUACCCCUAAGCAUUUUUUGACCUCAUUAAGGGACAGUAUUUCAAUAUGAGUAGGAAAAUGAGAGCAUCCCUAAAAUUUAUGAGGAAUAUAAGCACUGGUUCUGUGUACAUAUGUAGCUUCCAUAUGUAGGUUCUACAUCUGUUGGUUCCCCUUUUGACUGAGAACCCUGUGCAAUCUGGAUUUUAAAUCCUGAAGGGAAGCUUGCAUAUAUAGAGUGCACUUCCUUCUUCAAACCUCACCUCUCUGGGUGGCAGCAGAGGAGCAUGGCCAGCAGAUAAUGACCUGCUCUCCCUCUCAUGUGCUUGAGCAUUCUUCCCAAAUGCACUGACAAACAGGGCUAAUAUCUUCUUUGAAGCUGGUCUCCUGGUGGGAAGGGGCAAGGCUUGUUCUUGGACCAUGACUGUUGCAUCUGAAUCAAGCCAAAAUAAUGAUCUUAAGAUUGGUGUCAACAUCCUGAAAUAUUUGUGUGUACACACUAGCAGCAAAAUUCAAAUGGUCAGUUUUCCAUUUGAGUAUCAUGUUAAGGAAUCUAUUGUACUCUCAUUCUGGAUGCUAUCCUGAGCUUCUGUUGAAAUUCCACUUCGUUAAACAGCAUGAAGUUUGAACAGCACCCCUGGGCCAAUGUUUCAAGCAACAAGCUUGUCAAAUUAGACGAAGUGGGGCUCCCAACCAGCACAUGUCUCCCCUGACCCCAGGAAUGGAGCCCCUCCUCCCCUCCACAAACAUAACAUAAUUGAUCUUCGAUAAAGGGAUAGACCCGGAGAGCCUCUCCAGACACAAUAUUGAAGUCUGCAGGGGUUGUGCCACUGAAUUGACCCCAAAUACUAUGUGCACACUUGCAUAGCAUCUCUUGGGAAGACCAUUCUGGAAGGGAAAAGACAACAGGAUGAUUACUUAGGUGCUCUUUGGGCACUAAAAUUGGCUCUAAAAAUGUGAUAUUUUGCCAAAUAAAGGCUACUCAAUUUUUUAAAACUUUCUUUCAUUUGUGCUAGUGCUAUCCCAAAGUUACUUCUAGUAUGUAGUUUUGUGGAUGGAGACCUAUGAAAGUGUUUAUAGACCUUGUGACCUUCUUUGUAAGAAAAAUGAUAAAGAACAUGGGAAGAUCUCAUUAAGUUUUAAAGCUAAUUUAAAUUAAUUUAUCUCUAAGAAAUGUUUAUCAUAAAAAUAUAUGUGUGUGUGUUUUUCUUCCCCAUGCGUUAUGGUUAUAAAAGUAAUUUGGGAAAAGGUGUAAGUGUGUGCGGAUGCACUGAAUUUAAUUUUACUAGAUGUCUUUAAUGAGAUUUCAUUAUUUUGUCUUUGCUCGCUUUUGAAGACUUGUUAAAUGUGUCUUUUUUCUGUUUUAUAUGAACAGCCUGGUUGUGUUACUUCUGUCAUCAUGACUGGUUAGUAACAAGAUGUUGGCACUGGAAACUCUUUAUUGUGAUCAUGGAGCUGUGUGUAGUUCAGUGGCUCUCUUAAGCAGUAUUUGUUGGGGGAAACAAGUUGCAAUCCCUUGGCCAAAUUCAGUUACCUGGAGGUAGUAGGAUCUGUCUCUGCCGCCCCCCAACUGCCAAGCCCAGACACAAACCUGGGGUGCGGAGGAGCAGAUUCAGUAGCAUCAGGGCCUAACAACAUUUUGAGGGUGCCCUAAUCCACUUGGUGCCCCUCCAAUAAAACUAGUUGCCAACUAGGCUUUUCUGACGUUCAUUUUGAGGAUACAGCCACUACAAUAAACUGCAUAUUAGAAAGUAUUUGGAUACUUGCUACAAUUGUUGCUAACCUAAAAUGGGCAGACUAACUAAGGAAGAACAUGAUGAUGGUUUUGACUACCUCUUGCAUUUUACUACUUUUUAACUAACAAACUGGUUUCACAAGUAUUACCAGAGUAGCUUGAAUCUGUAUGUUGCUAAUGGUAAACCCAGAGCCAGAGACCAAAGUGAACACAGAUAUCUAUGCGUCUUGAAUAUUGUCUUUUUAUCUAGUGUUUUUAAAACUAUCCUCUGUAGCAUAUAGAUUACCUUAUGGUCCAUUUUGAUUCAUAUUUUGUUUACAAGGUAUAAUUUUUUUUUAAAAAAAUCACUUGAAUCGUUUGAGUCUUUUAAAAGAAAAGACAGGGAGUUGUUGAUUUUUUAAAGGCCAUUUUUCACAUGUUUACUGUCUCUGUCUCAUUGGACUGAAGCACUGAUUGCCUUUCUACAUAUCCUGUAUUUUAUAUAUUUUUGUUUAAUGCCUAUUGCCUACUGUUAUUAUUUCUAUCAAUCAUCGAUUUGUGACUGAGGUUUAAAAAGAUUACAUGAUGAAAAAUAAAACAUAUAACGUUGGCAUUU
rnacentral:lncRNA from 1 species